rnacentral:misc_RNA from 1 species
AAGUCGUAACAAGGUCUCCGUAGGUGAACCUGCGGAGGGAUCAUUAAGACUCUCUAGCCCGCCAUCAUUUGUGGAUUUCCCCAAAUUGUUGUGUGGGUUGGUUAAAUCAUUGUGUUUAGGGGGGUAAUCAUCUCCCUAAUAUUUCAUACUUCACAAAGCCCUAAUACGCUUUGGCCAAUCAACAACAAACUUACAACAGAGGAACAUAAACAACACACCCCAUUGGAUACCUUGGUUCCCAC